rnacentral:sRNA from 1 species
UCUAGUAAACCUACAUAAACUAUUCAAAAAAUAAAACUCAAUUUGGAAGAACAAAGCACAAAUUCCAGUGUCUGAAUGUAAUUUGUUGGCCAAUACCUUGAAUCAAAAAUUGUAACAUUCAUUGCAAUGGAAAAUACCUAAAACCACUCAGCGUCAAAGUUGGUAGAACUAUCGAAUCCAACUAUUGGUAACAAUUACAUCAUUUCAUAGACAGAACGAAAUUGAACAAGCUCUUUUUGGACGGGGGAAUGAUGGCUCCUGGGGACGCUGCUCUUGUGCCCAAAACUCGCUGGAACAAUUAGCUCAAAAGGUUGGGGGUUUUUGGGGCUCGGAAUGAUUCAAAGAGCGCGUCGUCGACAACUGAAGCCCUAUGAAAAAGUUUCAGUUUUUGCGCAAACAAAUUGGAUUAUUCGAUUACGUGUUUGUACAAGCGCAUUGUGCGACCAAGGGGAAGGCGGGCCGACCGGGGUGGAGUGCUGGAAAAUCAGAUGAGACUUGGAGGAAGUUAAGGAUGGCAUUUCUGACGGAAGUCCAGGAUUAAGUAAUCUCCAAGGUGGGAAAAUUUCAUCUAUCAAACGCCGGGAAAAAAUGGGUCAUUGGAAAAAGAAUCCCCUAAAGUCGAUUCAGAGGUUUUUUGCGCAAAAAAAUAUGAAUAAGAACAAUUGACCGACCUAAUCUCAGCUGCCUCUGAAUUUCAUUAGAGAACAUAUUGAACCUUGGAAGGAAGGACUGCUCCUUUUCCCCCACUGAGUCAAGAUGAGCAAGGAGCAAGUGGCAAAAAGUGAGGAGAUGCACGUGCCAAAAGUCUCAAGUUUAGCUGUUGCUGUGGCUACUCGCAAAAAAUUUGCUCCGGGCGCUUUUAGCAAAAGUGUAACGAAGGACGGGGGACUGCGACUGGCAGGAAGGGCAUGAAGGACGAGGUGGCAGCCGGAAAAUUGAGGAAAAACUGAGACUGGGUUGGGAUGAGCACACAGAGAUGACGACAGCUUGGGCUUGUCAUGGCAGAACGCGACGUGAGCGGUGGCUUGGCCUUUGGCAAUUUUCUUAUUGCAUGCAUGUGGCAGCUAAAAAAAUACUGGCCAGGAACAAAACGUAGAGGGCAAAAAGGAUUGGGCCGGUAACGACAAAUAGUGUUGCAUAUUUAUGUGCGCAUCCACACAAAACAGGACUUUUGUAAUUAAAACGAGAGUGAAAAUGGUUUACUAUG